GUGUAGUAUGAAAGGAGAGACGGUUAGCACUCCCCUAGACAAGGAUGGAAACACAUAUACCGGUUAAGGCACAUUCUGGGCUUGCCCAGAAAUCUUAACCACCAUUUUUU